UUCCAUUCAGCGCUAUCAUGCAGUCGACGCUUUGUGGUUCAACUGAUUUGAAGAGCUUGCUCAGAUAUGACGAUGGACAUUGCAAAGAGUGGCGAACGGGUGAGUAACACGUGGGAAACCUACCUCUUAGCAGGGGAUAACAUUUGGAAACAGAUGCUAAUACCGUAUAACAAUGACAACCGCAUGGUUGUUAUUUAAAAGAUGGUUCUGCUAUCACUAAGAGAUGGUCCCGCGGUGCAUUAGCUAGUUGGUAAGGUAAUGGCUUACCAAGGCGAUGAUGCAUAGCCGAGUUGAGAGACUGAUCGGCCACAAUGGGACUGAGACACGGCCCAUACUCCUACGGGAGGCAGCAGUAGGGAAUCUUCCACAAUGGGCGAAAGCCUGAUGGAGCAACGCCGCGUGUGUGAUGAAGGGUUUCGGCUCGUAAAACACUGUUGUAAGAGAAGAAUGACAUUGAGAGUAACUGUUCAAUGUGUGACGGUAUCUUACCAGAAAGGAACGGCUAAAUACGUGCCAGCAGCCGCGGUAAUACGUAUGUUCCAAGCGUUAUCCGGAUUUAUUGGGCGUAAAGCGAGCGCAGACGGUUAUUUAAGUCUGAAGUGAAAGCCCUCAGCUCAACUGAGGAAUUGCUUUGGAAACUGGAUGACUUGAGUGCAGUAGAGGAAAGUGGAACUCCAUGUGUAGCGGUGAAAUGCGUAGAUAUAUGGAAGAAACACCAGUGGCGAAGGCGGCUUUCUGGACUGUAACUGACGUUGAGGCUCGAAAGUGUGGGUAGCAAA
rnacentral:rRNA from 1 species